rnacentral:rRNA from 1 species
GUAGGUGGCAAGCGUUGUCCGGAAUUAUUGGGCGUAAAGCGCGCGCAGGCGGUUCUUUAAGUCUGAUGUGAAAGCCCACGGCUCAACCGUGGAGGGUCAUUGGAAACUGGAGAACUUGAGUACAGAAGAGGAAAGCGGAAUUCCACGUGUAGCGGUGAAAUGCGUAGAGAUGUGGAGGAACACCAGUGGCGAAGGCGGCUUUCUGGUCUGUAACUGACGCUGAGGCGCGAAAGCGUGGGGAGCAAACAGGGAUUAGAUACCCUGGUAGUCCACGCCGUAAACGAUGAGUGCUAAGUGUUAGGGGGGUUUCCGCCCCCCUUAGUGCUGCAGCUAACGCAUUAAGCACUCCGCCGUGGGGAGUACGGCCGCAAGGCUG